GGGCACCAAGAUUGGACUUGUGUAAGGCUUUUACCAUGGCCUGGUCCUCUGUCCUCAUUGCUCUCCUUAUGUAUUGCACAGCCUCUUGGGGACAGUCUGUGCUGACCCAAACACCCUCAGUGUCUGGUAACCUUGGACAGAGCGUCUCCAUCUUAUGCACUGGAAGUAGCAGCAACAUUGGUAGUUACAAUGUGUACUGGUACCAACAGCUCCCAGGAACAUCUCCUAAACUCAUCAUCUAUGAGGAUAACAAGAGACCCUCUGGGGUCCCUGAUCGCAUCUCGGGCUCCAAGUCUGGCAACUCAGCCACCCUGACCAUUGCUGGGCUUCGGUCUGAGGAUGAGGCUGAUUAUUACUGUCAGUCUGCUGAUGAUAGCACUGAUGCUCCCACAGUGCUCCAGGCCCAUGGGGAAGUGAGACAAGAACCCUUCCUUUUCUCAUAG